rnacentral:rRNA from 1 species
CAAUAGCGUAUAUUAAUGUUGUUGCGGUUAAAAAGCUCGUAGUUGGAUUUCGGGAUUGGAAUGUUGGUCAGCCGUAUGGCGUGUACUAGCAAUUCUGGUUCUUCCUUCUGGGGACGCUUGGGUAAUACCUUGCGGACACAGAUCUUUUACUGUGAACAAAUUAGAGUGUUCAAAGCAGGCUAACGCUUGAAUACUUUAGCAUGGAAUAAUGGAAUAGGACUUUGGGCCUAUUUUGUUGGUUCAUGGGACCGAAGUAAUGAUUAAUAGGGAUAGUUGGGGACGUUCGUAUUUAGUUGUCAGAGGUGAAAUUCUUGGAUUUACUAAAGACGAACUUCUGCGAAAGCAUUCGUCAAGGAUGUUUUCAUUAA